rnacentral:tRNA from 1 species
GCUUUCUUAGCAUAAUUAGUGCCGUUGACUUCCAAUCAACUAGCUCUGGUCCAACCCAGAAGGAAGCA